rnacentral:tRNA from 1 species
GGUAUAGCCAAGUGGUAAGGCAUCAGAUUCUGACUCUGAGUAUCGGAGGUUCAAAUCCUCUUAC